GGGUUGUGAGGUUAAGCGACUAAGCGUACACGGUGGAUGCCCUGGCAGUCAGAGGCGAUGAAGGGCGUGCUAAUCUGCGAUAAGCGCCGGUAAGGUGAUAUGAACCGUUAUAACCGGCGAUACCCGAAUGGGGAAACCCAGUGUGACUCGUCACACUAUCAUUAACUGAAUCCAUAGGUUAAUGAGGCGAACCGGGGGAACUGAAACAUCUAAGUACCCCGAGGAAAAGAAAUCAACCGAGAUUCCCCCAGUAGCGGCGAGCGAACGGGGAGGAGCCCAGAGCCUGAAUCAGCAUGUGUGUUAGUGGAAGCGUCUGGAAAGGCGCGCGAUACAGGGUGACAGCCCCGUACACAAAAGCGCAUGUGCUGUGAGCUCGAUGAGUAGGGCGGGACACGUGGUAUCCUGUCUGAAUAUGGGGGGACCAUCCUCCACGGCUAAAUACUCCUGACUGACCGAUAGUGAACCAGUACCGUGAGCGAAAGGCGAAAAGAACCCCGGCGAGGGGAGUGAAAAAGAACCUGAAACCGUGUACGUACAAGCAGCGGGAGCCCCACCACUAAGCCAGUGGUGAACUCCACAUACGCAUCCUUUGCUGAAGGCAAUGGUUAACGGAGCGAAAGCGACGUUCAACCGCAAAACAAGCAGAGGGGGCUUAGUGGUGGGGUGACUGCGUACCUUUUGUAUAAUGGGUCAGCGACUUAUAUUCUGUAGCAAGGUUAACCGUAUAGGGGAGCCGGAGGGAAACCGAGUCUUAACCGGGCGUUAAGUUGCAGGGUAUAGACCCGAAACCCGGUGAUCUAGCCAUGGGCAGGUUGAAGGUUGGGUAACACUAACUGGAGGACCGAACCGACUAAUGUUGAAAAAUUAGCGGAUGACCUGUGGCUGGGGGUGAAAGGCCAAUCAAACCGGGAGAUAGCUGGUUCUCCCCGAAAGCUAUUUAGGUAGCGCCUCGUGAAUUCAUCUCCGGGGGUAGAGCACUGUUUCGGCUAGGGGGCCAUCCCGGCUUACCAACCCGAUGCAAACUGCGAAUACCGGAGAAUGUUAUCACGGGAGACACACGGCGGGUGCUAACGUCCGUCGUGAAGAGGGAAACAACCCAGACCGCCAGCUAAGGUCCCAAAGUCAUGGUUAAGUGGGAAACGAUGUGGGAAGGCCCAGACAGCCAGGAUGUUGGCUUAGAAGCAGCCAUCAUUUAAAGAAAGCGUAAUAGCUCACUGGUCGAGUCGGCCUGCGCGGAAGAUGUAACGGGGCUAAACCAUGCACCGAAGCUGCGGCAGCGACGCUUAUGCGUUGUUGGGUAGGGGAGCGUUCUGUAAGCCUGCGAAGGUGGCCUGUGAGGGUUGCUGGAGGUAUCAGAAGUGCGAAUGCUGACAUAAGUAACGAUAAAGCGGGUGAAAAGCCCGCUCGCCGGAAGACCAAGGGUUCCUGUCCAACGUUAAUCGGGGCAGGGUGAGUCGACCCCUAAGGCGAGGCCGAAAGGCGUAGUCGAUGGGAAACAGGUUAAUAUUCCUGUACUUGGUGUUACUGCGAAGGGGGGACGGAGAAGGCUAUGUUGGCCGGGCGACGGUUGUCCCGGUUUAAGCGUGUAGGUGUGUGUUCCAGGUAAAUCCGGUUCACUUUAACACUGAGGCGUGAUGA
rnacentral:rRNA from 1 species